CACAAUCAUAGGCAGAGCUGAUUUCCCUUGAUAAUGCUGGUGUACCUCGAUAACUAGCCUGCCAAAGGUAGAAGUAACUUUCGUGUUGUUUCUCUCAACUCCUCUACUUGACAGUGAGAAGGAACUUGGAAAAGUUGAUCAUCAGUUUCUCUAUCAGACGUGCCCAGCAAAAUUGUGCUACGCAUAAUACACCAGUAAUUAACCUUGUAAACUUACUUUUUGAACAGCUCUCAUCUAUAGUUUACAAUUAAUUAGGGGAUCCACAAGGGAUUGAUUCUGAAGAAGAUAAUUAUGCCUCUUCCUGGGGUUAUGGGGAGCUUCGCUAGGCAAGAGGUAUCUUAUUUUCCCCGGGAAAUUAAACCAGCGCUCCAUUAUCAGAUUAUUUCUAAAUGAGUAAAGGACUGAAUUUUGACAUCACGGUCUCAUUUCGGCAGGAAAGAGACAAACUGACAAGCUGUUUUGUCACAUGCUUCUUUGAGCAGAACAUUUUGAGGAAUGUCUCUGGGUCUGUCUGGGAAGAGGAGCCGCUGGGCAGGAAAAAUGUCCCAGAUGACCAAAUGUGACGGGGCUAUUUGCCAAGUAAUCACCCCACGCCUGAGCACAGGAAAAGAGGAAAUGCAUUUCCAUUUUCUGGUCUUGGGCCAGAGGGAGUUUGCUCAGGGUGGGGAGUCGGAGCACAUUUGGUAAAAUAUUAUGACCAUUCUGCAUGGCUAUUGAUGCUAGUGUACGCAGCGGUAUGAAAUCAACCGAUUCUGCCUAAUAACAUUUUGCUCAUCCGUAGCAGGCCCCCUCGGGAUGGCCUUCCAGCUCGCACACCUGUCUUCCCCAGGAAUGGCCCUCGUGACUCAGAGUGGUUGCCCUGCAGCCUCAGCCCGCCUAGCCAGAGCUGAUCUGUCCCAAGUGAAGACACAUGACCUCAGCUGGGCCAAUCAGAUUCUCUCCACCGGGAAUUAUGAAUGAAGGCAGUUCCACUGGGAGCCUUGACUUUGAUUGGCUCUUGGUAAGGACAGCUCCAGUGAUGCGGUACUCCUCUUUGGAGAGAAGGGAGGUGGAAGUGAAAAUCUGGAGCCUGGCUUUGGAUCCAGACAUUUCUGGGUUUGAAUCCUGACCCACUUCUGGCUCCCGUCCCAGCCCUGUGACCUUCAGCAAGUGACUUAACCUCUCUGACUUCAAGUUCCUCACCUGGGAAAAUGGAAAUCAGGUAAAGAGAAAAAAAAUAUAUUUAAAAACUAUCUUAAAGCCACUUUUACUGGUUGUGAAAUCUCUCGAUAAAUAGACUUUGGCUAUAUUGAUAAACUCUUUGGUUUUGAAAAAAUAGGCCUGAGGAUGUACACGCCUGGAAAUUCAUAGAAAGAGAUUUAUUUUGUUCUAAAGAAUGAAGUAAGAAUCGCAGAGCCGCCAUCUUGCAUCCCCGCGUGUGUUUGCCUAACUCUGCUUGAACACUGAGUGCCAACCUGCCCCCUGCAUGGCCCCUUUUCUGCUCUGACAAGAUGAAAGAGACAAUCAUGAACUAGGAAAAACCCGCCAAACUUCAGGCACAACCGUGCAUUGGUGGGAAAGAAAUUGGUUGUAGAAAGAAGAAGGUGGUUCACAGAACAGCUACAGCAGAUGAUUAAAAAAACUUCAGCUCUUAAACAAGUUAGGGGCCGGCACAGCGGCUCACACCUGCAAUCCCAGCACUUUGGGAGGCAGAGGUGGGUGGAUCACCUGAGGUCAGGAGUUCCGGACCAGCUUGGCUAACAUGAUGAAACCCCGUCUCUACUAAAAAAAAAAAUACAAAAAAUUAGCCAGGCAUGGUGGCAGGCACCUGUAAUCUCAGCUACCCGGGAGGCUGAAGCAGGAGAAUUUCUUGAACCUGGGAGGCAGAGGGUAGGGCUGCAGUGAGCCAAGAUCGCACCAUUGCACUCCAUCCUGGGUGACAGAGCAAGACUCCAUCUCAAAAAAAAAGAAGAAGAAGAAGUUAGGGGCAA
rnacentral:lncRNA from 1 species